rnacentral:rRNA from 1 species
CCCUUAGAUGUUCUGGGCUGCACACGUGCUACACUGGCAGGUUCAGCGAGCUUCAUGCCCUGAUCUGAACGGAAUGGGAAAUCUUUUCAAAACCUGCCGUGCUUGGGAUAGAUGUUUGCAAUUAUUCAUCUUCAACGAGGAUUGCCUUGUAAGCGCACGUCAUCAGCGUGCAUUGAAUACGACCCUGUAUUCUGUACACACCGCCCGUCGCUCCUACCGAUUGAAGUUUUCGGUGAGUUGACAGGAGGAUUUUUUUGAAACUGGUUCGCCAGUGGAUUUUAGAUCCAAAUGCCAACGAAUCGAUGGCUUUAGAGGAAGGAGAAGUCGUAACA